rnacentral:rRNA from 1 species
GCACCUACGGGAGGCAGCAGUCGAGAAUCAUUCACAAUGGGGGAACCCUGACCGAGCAACGCCGCGUGAGUGAAGAAGGUUUUCGGAUCGUAAAGCUCUGUUGUAAGAGAAGAACGUUAGCGGGAGUGGAAAAUCCGCUAAGUGACGGUACCUUACCAGAAAGGGACGGCUAACUACGUGCCAGCAGCCGCGGUAAUACGUAGGUCCCGAGCGUUGUCCGGAUUUAUUGGGCGUAAAGCGAGCGCAGGCGGUUUGAUAAGUCAGAAGUAAAAGGCUGUGGCUCAACCAUAGUACGCUUUUGAAAC